rnacentral:rRNA from 1 species
ACGAACGCUGGCGGCGCGCCUAACACAUGCAAGUCGAACGGAGUUAUUUUCUUCACUCCGAGCUUUUUGCCGGUUAGCCGGAGCGGCAAUCGGUUUUGCCCAGCAUAAAAAGCAAAACCGAUUUAGGCUCAUAAAGUAAGACUAACACAGAGGGCAGAGAGUUGGGAGUGAAGAAAAUAACUUAGUGGCGAACGGGUGAGUAACGCGUGAGUAACCUGCCCUGGAGUGGGGGACAACAGUUGGAAACGACUGCUAAUACCGCAUAAGCCCACGAUCCGGCAUCGGAUUGAGGGAAAAGGAUUUAUUCGCUUCAGGAUGGACUCGCGUCCAAUUAGCUGGUUGGUGAGGUAACGGCCCACCAAGGCGACGAUUGGUAGCCGGACUGAGAGGUUGAACGGCCACAUUGGGACUGAGACACGGCCCAGACUCCUACGGGAGGCAGCAGUGGGGGAUAUUGCACAAUGGGGGAAACCCUGAUGCAGCGACGCCGCGUGGAGGAAGAAGGUUUUCGGAUUGUAAACUCCUGUCGUUAGGGACGAUAAUGACGGUACCUAACAAGAAAGCACCGGCUAACUACGUGCCAGCAGCCGCGGUAAAACGUAGGGUGCAAGCGUUGUCCGGAAUUACUGGGUGUAAAGGGAGCGCAGGCGGACCGGCAAGUUGGAAGUGAAAACUAUGGGCUCAACCCAUAAAUUGCUUUCAAAACUGCUGGCCUUGAGUAGUGCAGAGGUAGGUGGAAUUCCCGGUGUAGCGGUGGAAUGCGUAGAUAUCGGGAGGAACACCAGUGGCGAAGGCGACCUACUGGGCACCAACUGACGCUGAGGCUCGAAAGCAUGGGUAGCAAACAGGAUUAGAUACCCUGGUAGUCCAUGCCGUAAACGAUGAUUACUAGGUGUUGGAGGAUUGACCCCUUCAGUGCCGCAGUUAACACAAUAAGUAAUCCACCUGGGGAGUACGACCGCAAGGUUGAAACUCAAAGGAAUUGACGGGGGCCCGCACAAGCAGUGGAGUAUGUGGUUUAAUUCGAAGCAACGCGAAGAACCUUACCAGGUCUUGACAUCCGAUGCAUAGUGCAGAGAUGCAUGAAGUCCUUCGGGACAUCGAGACAGGUGGUGCAUGGUUGUCGUCAGCUCGUGUCGUGAGAUGUUGGGUUAAGUCCCGCAACGAGCGCAACCCCUGUGAUUAGUUGCCAGCGAGUAAUGUCGGGAACUCUAAUCAAACUGCCGGUGAUAAAUCGGAGGAAGGUGGGGACGACGUCAAAUCAUCAUGCCCUUUAUGUCUUGGGCUACACACGUACUACAAUGGCUAUAACAAAGAGAAGCGAGACAGUGAUGUGGAGCAAAACUCAAAAAAAUAGUCUCAGUUCGGAUUGAAGGCUGAAAUUCGCCUUCAUGAAGCUGGAAUUGCUAGUAAUGGCAGGUCAGCAUACUGCCGUGAAUACGUUCCCGGGCCUUGUACACACCGCCCGUCACACCAUGAGAGUUGGGGAUACCCGAAGCCUGUGAGCCAACAGUUAAAUGAGGCAGCAGUCGAAGGUAGAAUCAAUGAUUGUGGUG